GAUAUAUUGGUGGGUUGAUAUAUCAAGCCGAUAUAAAUUUUAUACAUUGGCAUCGGCUGAUAUUUGUCCUUAGUAAAGCCCAUUUAAAGUCAGGCACAUCCUCGGGUUGUCCGAUGCUGUUGCAGAAUUUAAUUUAACUCAUUCGCUGCUAUUGAUGACUAAAGUCAUGAACUGUUUUUUUUAAGGCUCGGGUACAAGCUUGCGCAACUUGAAAGUAAACAUCUCUAAAGUCGAUUUUCAUCAGCGCUAACCCAGAAAAAGCUUCUGCAGCUCACACUUGGACAAACGGGUAGUGAAAGAACGGAAAAGGCUAGAAACACGGUGAUUCUUCCUGAUGUAAGAAAGCCAAAGAUCUGUUGGUGCAUGGAUGUGAUCUUUGUGGUGAUGAAGUGUCCUCACCAGGUGAAGGCUGUCGGCCUUCUGUGUCUGUCUCAGCCGGCUCUUCUGAGCAGCCAGUCGGUUCUUCUCUCUCCGCAUCACCUUCUUUGGAUCGUCUUCUGAGCUCUAGUGAAAGUCAAACUGUGAGGUAGACUGAUUUCCAUGCUCUUGUCCAGUGGUACCUGUGUCCGGCAGACUCGCCUCCGUCAGCACACCCGAGGGCAGCUGUGGCUGCAGAUCAUCACCUCCAGAGUGUGAAUGGGUGAAUGACUGAUUAACUAAAUUUGUAGAUUAGUUUAGAAGCCGUCACCUUUUUACUAUUUAGUCUUUGGCUUUUCUUUGAGUCAAGAGCAGGUAGACAUACCAAAGUUUCUUCAGAAAAAGGAUGUUAUUUACAUGUUCUUUGACAGAGUAUGAUGGACUGCCUCAUUGACUGAAAUCUGUAGCAGUAAGCACAUCACGUUGUUUGUAAUCCAAUAGCAUGCGGAGACACUUUGAAAGACAACCGUAAAUCCUGCCCCAUGACUGAGAGCUGUCAAUGGACUGUUGCCAGACUAAAUAUUCUCAUUAAAAGGUUAUGAAAUGUGAAAUUUUAAAGUUUAGAGCUGAUUAAAAAUGGCCACAAUCCACUUAUGUGGUAGCUGCACCUGAACUAGCCAUUAGGUUAUCAAUCUUAUUGAAGAAAUGGUUUGUUUCUCAACAUAGAGGCUGUUAAGAAGGUAUAUAAUAGACCUUGUAAGAUUAUUUCAAACAUUUAGACAAAAUCACACACCAGAAAGGCCCAAACAUCCUAUUCAAAUAUAUGCAAUUGUUUUAAAGAGCAAGACACCCCCAACUAGAGUCUUACUCCACUCCCAUUUCCUGUUUGAAAAAUAUGCCACAAGGAGGCAUUUCCUGGCAGAACGAGAGGGCAGAGCCGCUACACACACACACACACACAGGCUCACAAUGACAUUGUGACAUCAUAUGUUACCAGCUAAUGUCAUAAGGUACAUCUUAGCAGAUUUAAAUACAAAUGUAGUGCAGAGUUUUUACCUGAAGAGGGCGCAACACUGACAGUUUUAGGCAGAAUAUUUGAAUUUGAACUAAGAUACACUAAAGUCCCAAAUUAUUGAUAACACGUCUACCAUUAGAUACUAAUUUAUAUAGUUAAUCAGCCAAAAAAAUGGUGAUUUGGGGGUGAUUUGCUCUUUAAAAUUUUAAGUUGUCUUCCAGCUUCUCCUCACAAAAAUUCUAACUUCAAACAUUUCUCACAACUCUUCAGGACUCUGGGGUAAAAGAAACUCAGGUGUGCAUUAUCCGUGAGACCUGUGUGUGGUUUUCUUGCUUGGAACUGAUUGUGGGAGGGUUCUGGCUAUCUCAGAAAUGGGGAAAAUUAAUUUUAACUCAUUUGAAUGCAAAGUUUUCUCAGUUUACCGCAAAUUGUUCCUAAAAUUCUUUGGAAAAAAAGUCUGCUUCCUGUUGACCUGUAAGAUAUAUUAUGUAAGUUGUUUUCUGUGUUAAUUUUAACACUGUCAGUGCGUCAAACACGGUAAAUGAUGGGCUUUAACAGAGUAGUCUGCUACAACCACACCUACAACACCAGGGGAAGAGGAAACCCUCUGUACUUGAAAACUAGACUUCCUUCAGCUGAGGUCUACCACCUGAAUGGAAACCUUUCUGCAAACAAAGCUUUUCACAGUGAAAGGAGUCCAACUUUGCUAUUUUAAAGCCUUUUUUUGUCAGAUUUACUCAGCUGAGUGAGAAAUGAUUCAACCUUUAUGACGAAUGGUGCAGUGUGAGCUUUUGUCCAGUUAGGGGCGGUGUAGCACUCGUGUCUAAGGUUGAAUGUGGGGUAUAUAAAACAAAUAAAACCAAAUAAAACCUAACAUGUUGUGUAAAAUAAUGACACGUGGAAUUGGUGUCGAAAUACAAAACGUAUAAAAAGACUGUGUCUCGCUGUAUUGCUCAGGCUGAACUACAGUGUCUAUUCACGGGCGCGAUCCCACUACUGAGCGGCACGGGGGCUUUGACCUGCUCCGUUUCCGACCUGGGCCGGUGCACCCCUCCUUAGACGACCUGGUAGUCCCGGGCUCCCCCAGGAGCACCAUAUCGAUACCGAGCUUAGUGCGGACACCCGAUCGACAUAGUCCACAGCAG